GGGGGAACUGAAACAUCUAAGUACCCCGAGGAAAAGAAAUCAACCGAGAUUCCCCCAGUAGCGGCGAGCGAACGGGGAGCAGCCCAGAGCCUGAAUCAGUGUGUGUGUUAGUGGAAGCGUCUGGAAAGGCGCGCGAUACAGGGUGACAGCCCCGUACACAAAAAUGCACAUGCUGUGAGCUCGAUGAGUAGGGCGGGACACGUGGUAUCCUGUCUGAAUAUGGGGGGACCAUCCUCCAAGGCUAAAUACUCCUGACUGACCGAUAGUGAACCAGUACCGUGAGGGAAAGGCGAAAAGAACCCCGGCGAGGGGAGUGAAAAAGAACCUGAAACCGUGUACGUACAAGCAGUGGGAGCACGCUUAGGCGUGUGACUGCGUACCUUUUGUAUAAUGGGUCAGCGACUUAUAUUCUGUAGCAAGGUUAACCGAAUAGGGGAGCCGAAGGGAAACCGAGUCUUAACUGGGCGUUAAGUUGCAGGGUAUAGACCCGAAACCCGGUGAUCUAGCCAUGGGCAGGUUGAAGGUUGGGUAACACUAACUGGAGGACCGAACCGACUAAUGUUGAAAAAUUAGCGGAUGACUUGUGGCUGGGGGUGAAAGGCCAAUCAAACCGGGAGAUAGCUGGUUCUCCCCGAAAGCUAUUUAGGUAGCGCCUCGUGAAUUCAUCUCCGGGGGUAGAGCACUGUUUCGGCAAGGGGGUCAUCCCGACUUACCAACCCGAUGCAAACUGCGAAUACCGGAGAAUGUUAUCACGGGAGACACACGGCGGGUGCUAACGUCCGUCGUGAAGAGGGAAACAACCCAGACCGCCAGCUAAGGUCCCAAAGUCAUGGUUAAGUGGGAAACGAUGUGGGAAGGCCCAGACAGCCAGGAUGUUGGCUUAGAAGCAGCCAUCAUUUAAAGAAAGCGUAAUAGCUCACUGGUCGAGUCGGCCUGCGCGGAAGAUGUAACGGGGCUAAACCAUGCACCGAAGCUGCGGCAGCGACGCUUAUGCGUUGUUGGGUAGGGGAGCGU
rnacentral:rRNA from 1 species